UGGGGAAUAUUGGACAAUGGGCGAAAGCCUGAUCCAGCCAUGCCGCGUGUGUGAAGAAGGUCUUCGGAUUGUAAAGCACUUUAAGUUGGGAGGAAGGGCAUUAACCUAAUACGUUAGUGUUUUGACGUUACCGACAGAAUAAGCACCGGCUAACUCUGUGCCAGCAGCCGCGGUAAUACAGAGGGUGCGAGCGUUAAUCGGAAUUACUGGGCGUAAAGCGCGCGUAGGUGGUUUGUUAAGUUGGAUGUGAAAUCCCCGGGCUCAACCUGGUAACUGCAUUCAAAACUGACUGACUAGAGUAUGGUAGAAGGUGGUGGAAUUUCCUGUGUAGCGGUGAAAUGCGUAGAUAUAGGAAGGAACACCAGUGGCGAAGGCGACCACCUGGACUAAUACUGACACUGAGGUGCGAAAGCGUGGGGAGCAAACA
rnacentral:rRNA from 1 species